UUCACUUGUUAGCUUACCCAGGAGACCCAGAGCUUCCAGGGAACUCUACUUCCUUAGAACAGAGGUAGUAGGUAAAGUAAUGUAAAGGGCAAGUGCUGGAAAAAAAAAUUUGAAGACAGCAGUUUUAUUUACCCUCUAGGAAAAUAACUUUUCAUUUGGUGAUAACCAUUUGUUAUGGAUCAUGAAGAACGCCUGAAAAUGAACAAUCCUCCAGUGUUGCUAAGAGUGGUAUUAGCAGGUUCAUAGCAGAUGAAAAGAGUGAAUGUGGAAACCAGACUAUAAAGAUGUAGAGCCCAAGAUUGAAGGAUUCUGAGUCUCUGAAUCAUCACUUACAGAAAAAUUACUCUGAGAUCAAGAACAGUUGCUUUGAACUUUAUGUGAAUGAGGAGUAAACUUAUAAUGACUGAAAUGAAGCCUGAGAUGCUGAAUUUUUAAUAAUUUCUCAGUGACACCCAUGCUUCUGUUCUGCAAACCACAUAUUAGGAGCAAGGCUGUAACCAGAGCAUUCUCUUUCCCUUACUGGACCUGAAAUCUCUAGUCUUCUCUGCAUGUUUAACUCUUCUAGUCAAGCCUUCCCUUUUGUUGUAGACUGAGUUGUGUUUCCAAAAAAAGAUAUAUUGAAGCCCUAACCCCUGGUACUUGUGAAUUUCACUUUAUUUUAAAAGAGAGUCUUUGCAGAUGCAAUCAAGUUAAGAUCAUUGGGAUGCAUCCUAAUAUAUAUGACGGUGUCCUCAUAAGAAGAGGGAAAUUUAAGCACAGAGAUUCACAGGGAUUGCACCAUGUGAAAACAGAGAUUCGAGAGAUGCAUCUAUAUACCAAGGUUUGUUGUCUGUCCCCAGAAGCUAGUAGCAAGGUAUGGAACAGAUUCUCUCUCAAAGUCCUCGGAAGGAACCCACCCAGUUGAUACCUUGAUUUCAGACUUCUAGCCACUAAAACUGUGAGGCACACAUACCUGCGGGUCUAAGCCAUUCGGUCCAUAAUACUUUGAUACUACUACCAUAAAAAAUAUAUAUGCCUUUGUCUGUCAUAAUGUUGACUCGCUGGGAUUUUUAGCACAAUACUUGUCUAU